AACCGUUAGGGACGCUGAGGGGAUGGUGCGGGUGCGGAAAGGGGACCCUGGGUAGGCGGACGGCGCGAGGACGGCUAGGGGACGGCGCGGGCCAAGAAGGACGGCGGCGGAGCUGGCACCACGCGCUGCCCGGCCGCAGGGUCGAGACGAGCGAAGGAGGAAGAGCCAGGAGAGCUCGGGAGCAGCGCGGACAGAACCAGACGUCUGGCCGCCUCUCCCGACCUGCUUCCUGUGUUGUUCCCCCUGCUUCUCCCGGUUCUGUCGGCCCAACUCUUUCGGCAUCGCGGCUCCAGGUGAUUCGGAGAAGUCCGAGGAGCAGAAUCUGGGCCCUCUCUGGCACUGCACUAGUGGGAGAAGGAGGACGCUGUCUUGGUACUGCCAAGUGAAGAUGGAAGUCCAGCUUCCCCCUCGGCUUCUGUUGACACCCCAGGGAGGCAGUUCCUCGUUACUUCAGAACAGAACAAAGACCUGCAACUACAGCCCUCAGUUUGGUAAACAAAGUUUUACUGGAACACCACCUAUUUUUGUAAAGAAAGUUUUAUUGGAACAUAGCCGCACCCAUUUGUUUGUGUAUUAUCUAUGACUGUUUGGUGCUACACACUGUCUUUAUUAUUGUAACUUU